UACGUAGGGGGCGAGCGUUGUCCGGAAUUAUUGGGCGUAAAGAGCGUGUAGGCGGUUCGGUAAGUCUGCUGUGAAAUCCUGCGGCUCAACCCUGGGCGUGCAGUGGAUACUGCCGGGCUAGAGGGUGGUAGAGGCGGGUGGAAUUCCGAGUGUAGCGGUGAAAUGCGCAGAUAUUCGGAGGAACACCAGUAGCGAAGGCGGCUGACUGGGCCACACCUGACGCUGAGGCGCGAAAGCGUGGGGAGCGAACAGG
rnacentral:rRNA from 1 species